AUUGAACGCUGGCGGCAGACCUAACACAUGCAAGUCGAACGAGUGGCGGACGGGUGAGUAAUGUCUGGGAAACUGCCUGAUGGAGGGGUAUCACUACUGGAAACGGUAUCUAAUACCGCAUACCCUCGGAUGUGCCCAGAUGGGAUUAGCUAGUAGGUGGGGUAACGGCUCACCUAGGCGACGAUCCCUAGCUGUUCUGAGAGGAUGACCGGCCACACUGGAACUGAGACACGGUCCAGACUCCUACGGGAGGCAGCAGUGGGGAAGAUUGGACAAUGGGCGAAAGCCUGAUGCAGCCAUGCCGCGUGUAUGAAGAAGGCCUUCGGGUUGUAAAGUACUUUCAGCAGGGAGGCGUUACCCGCAGAAGAAGCACCGGCUAACUACGUGCCAGCAGCCGCGGUAAUUC
rnacentral:rRNA from 1 species